rnacentral:rRNA from 1 species
GACGAACGCUGGCGGCGUGCUUAACACAUGCAAGUCGAACGGAAAGGCCCUUCUUUUGUGGGGUUCUCGAUUGGCGAACGUGUGAGUAACACGUGAGUAACCUGCCCUUUACUUUGGGAUAACUUCAGGAAACUUGGGCUAAUACCGGAUAGGAGCUCCUGCUGCCUGGUGGGUGUUGGAAAGUUUCGUCGGUUGGGGAUGGACUCGCGGCUUAUCAGCUUGUUGGUGGGGUAGUGGCUUACCAAGGCUUUGACGGGUAGCCGGCCUGAGAGGGUGACCGGCAAAAAUGGGACUGAGAGACGGCACAGAAUGCUACGGGAGGCAGAAGUGGGGAAGAUGGCACAAUGGGCGGAAGCCUGAUGCAGCAAAGCAGCGUGCGGGAUGAAGGCCUUCGGGUGGUAAACAGAUUUAGACUGUGACGAAGAGUGAGUGACGGUAAUGGGUAAAGAAGCACCGGCUAACUACGUG